rnacentral:rRNA from 1 species
CCAAUAGCGUAUAUUAAAGUUGUUGCAGUUAAAAAGCUCGUAGUUGAAUUUCGGGAUCAAUAUAUUGGUCAUGCUUAGGUAUGUACUGGUAUUAUUGAUUUCUCCCUUCUGAAGAACCAUGAUGUCAUUAAUUUGAUGUCGUGGGGAAUCAGGACUGUUACUUUGAAAAAAUUAGAGUGUUUAAAGCAGGCUUUCGCUUGAAUACAUUAGCAUGGAAUAAUGAAAUAGGACGUUUGAUUCUAUUUUGUUGGUUUCUAGGAUCGACGUAAUGAUUAAUAGGGAUAGUUGGGGGCAUUAGUAUUCAAUUGUCAGAGGUGAAAUUCUUGGAUUUAUUGAAGACUAACUACUGCGAAAGCAUUUGCCAAGGAUGUUUUCAUUAAUCAAGAACGAAAGUUAGGGGAUCGAAGACGAUCAGAUACCGUCGUAGUCUUAACCAUAAACUAUGCCGACUAGGGAUCGGAUGAUGUUAAUUUUUUAAUGACUCAUUCGGCGCCUUACG